GCGGAAAUACUUAAGUGGAUUACAUGUAUGAAGACAUGGAAUCCUGAGCCUAAUUUAAUACUUAUACUUCAAAAGCUUUGCUCUGCGCGCCUCCAUCCGCAUCACAGCUUAACCUGCAUAUUUAGAAAACAUAUGCAGGACUGAGUACUAAAAAGGUACUCAAUGGUCACAUGCCGAAAUAACUUUAAAGCUUGCUCUUAGAGCUAUAUAUUGAACUUGCCAUGUCAAGCAUCACACAGGAGUUUUAUUUAAAUAACCUGUGCACGCCAAAACUGUAAAACUUCUAUAUAUAUCAUCAUAACAUCAUAUACGUCUGCAGACAUACUUAUUUGUACUCUACCAUAUCUGCAAUGAUAACUGUGUGCCGAGAAGGUGGCCACCUUCUACGGUCACUGACCGGCCGAUACGCUAAACCGGCUCACGGUCCUAGACCGGCCGAUACGCUAAACCGGCUCACGGUCCUAGGCCGGCCGAUAUGCUAAAUCAGCUCACGGUCCCUUGUGUACACUAAUCCUGUCUAACAUCUGGAUAGAACAGGAUCCGAAUUCGAUUAACUUCUGGUGCCAGAUAGGUAUCAUACAAGCUCAUAAAAGUUUUGGCAAGUCAACAACUUUAAUAUAACUUCAUUCAUGUAAACAUCAUGAAAUAGUGUGCACUUCAUAUUUUGAGUUUAGAAAGCCCACCUGAUCGUGGUCUGACGAUCCAGGUGAUUCUGAGCUAUGGAUUCACCUUCUUUUGUAUAUGACCUUCAAUAUAGAUUAACUAACUAAGUAAAUAAGAAAAUAAUAUGGAUUUAACUUAAAGAAUACUUAUGUGGGUCUUAGGGUGAUAUUCCUAUUGAAAUAUGGACUGAAGACUAACUGUUAUUGACAACCUUAUCAACAAAUACCAAUAUAGAUUCAAAUGCGGUAGCCACUUUAAUUAAUACACCCUUUUACGCCUCUUUUUAGAAUAUGAUUCUAGUAUCUAAUUUAUUAAUAGCUUCUUAAAAGAAUUCUAUAUGCUCGAAUACUUUAAUUAAUCACUUCUAACUAUUAAUGAAUAGUUAAUCUUAUUUACAUAAAUUAUUGGGCUCAAAUGAUAAUAAUGCAGCCCAUGUGAAUAAAUUAAAGGUCCAAUUAAAACAAUCCUAUUACCUAAUUAAUCAAAAGCCCAACAGAGUCACUUAACUUAGCCCAUUAGAGAAUUAAUAGGCUCCUCAAAAUUAACAUGAGCCCAAUUAAAUAAAUUAACUAUUUUCUGAUUUAAUAAAUUAAAAUUAAUAACCUUCUUUAAAACAUAAAACAAGUUAAUCUCUCUCUGUUUUCUAUUUCUUCCCCACGCAGACAUCUCUCCCUCUCUUCGCUCCCUCUCUCGGCCGCCUCUCUCUCCCCCCUUCUCCGGCGAGGCUGACGCAUCUUCUCCCCUUCCGCUUUCUUCCCUCUCCUUCCUACAUUUAAUUCCCAAAUUCUAAAAUCAAUUCAACCUAGGGUUUUCAAUCCCCCCCAUCAAUUUUACUCCUCUGGAGAAUCCCGGCGAAUAACGUCGCCGCCGCCCCAGCUCGUCGGAUUUCCGCUCCUCCGUCGUUCUCCCUGCCUCAGGUAAGUCCCCUAUCUCUCUUCUUCUCUCUAUAUCCUCCCUCUCAGUCUCUCUCCUCUAUCUCUAUGUCUUUGUAUCUCUGUCUCUAUUUGCCAGCCACCGUGGGCCGCCGUAGCGCGGGCAGCACCGGCGGUCAUCGCCAUCAGCUGCGCCCCGCCGUGGUGGCUCGCGGCUGCCGCUGCUACCGUCCCUGUUCUUCUUUCCCUUUUAUCCAUCUAAUUCUCAGAUUUUUACUUCCUCAAACUAAUAAGUCUCAAACAAUUUUCCAUUUCAGGAAUCGAUGAUUCAAGGGAUCUCCAGUUCGUCUACUGCUCAAAAUCCAAUUUUUAUAUGUUAUAAACCUAUUUUCCUUUAUUACUUAUUGUAAAACUGAGAUUUUGAUGGUGAGGAAACAAAUCAACAAUACUGUAUCGUUACUAUGCUUAUGGAAAUUAGAGUUAGAGAUAUCUGUUUGUGCUUAACUGGUGUAGCUAUGUCUGUUUUCACUGCUUUUCUUUACAUAAAGAAUCUACUGUAUUGAAAGAAAGACUACCUUCUUUGAUGUCUGCUGUGGAGGAUGUGUGUUUGAAUGGAUGAUUGCUGCGUGUUUAAGAUUGCAGAAUGAGGAAGGAAAGGGUUUAACGUGAGAGGUGAGGGUAUUUAAACAAGCUGAAGUCGGUUGUGGAGUAGCUGCGUAAAAGCUACAAGAAACGUGUUCCUCUGUGAGCUAAUCAGGCUUAAUAGAUCUAAUUAGCAAUUUAAAACUCUAAUUA
rnacentral:lncRNA from 1 species